rnacentral:rRNA from 1 species
UGCGAGUCAGUGGACGCACUAAACCCAAAGGCGAAAUGAAAGUGACAGAUUACUUGAAAGAGUGUAAUGCUCUUUGGGCUGAUCCUCGACCGGCUGUCGGCAGAUUGGUUCAGAUCGGGAGAAGUGGGUGGGUGAGACCCUUUCCCUACCUAACCUUUCGUUUCUGGCCUUUCUGUUUUGUACGAAGGUCUUUGCUCCUUCGGGAGGGGGCGCAAGCCCGGGACUUGCCACAUGACGCGCUGCAUUUCAGGUCUGCACUAAAAAAAAGUGCUGCAGCGAGCAAGCUGCAAGCGAGCGCGCCCUCUACUGACAAUCACUGACACUUCUUCUACUUCCUUCCUUCCUCUUCCUUUUCCCCUCCGGGGGGUUGGAAUGUGGGUGGGUGGUCGGGGAUGUUGUUGGUAAGAAGUUGGUAGUUGGGUUAGUUUGUUUGUUUGUUUGCUUGUGUAAGUUCUUUUUUGCAGUAUUUGUAUGCGGUUGUAGUCGGCAAGUACCUUGAGCAUACAUGUUGGGACCCGAAAGAUGGUGAACUAUGCCUGGCCAGGAUGAAGCCAGAGGAAACUCUGGUGGAGGUCCGUAGCGAUUCUGACGUGCAAAUCGAUCGUCGGAGCUGUGUAUAGGGGCGAAAGACUAAUCGAACUAUCUAGUAGCUGGUUCCCUCCGAAGUUUCCCUCAGGAUAGCUGGAGCUCAUUGAAUGAAUUUCAUCCGGUAAAGCGAAUGAUUAGAGGUCUUGGGGAUGAAACGUUCUCAACCUAUUCUCAAACUUUAAAUGGGUGAGAUGCCAAGCUUGCUUGAAUAGUGAAGCUUUGGCGAUUAAUCUGGAGUAUCUAGUGGGCCACUUUU